rnacentral:rRNA from 1 species
UAGGGAAUCUUCCACGAUGGGCGCAAGCCUGAUGGAGCAACACCGCGUGAGUGAAGAAGGGUUUCGGCUCGUAAAGCUCUGUUGUUAAAGAAGAACACGUAUGAGAGUAACUGUUCAUACGUUGACGGUAUUUAACCAGAAAGUCACGGCUAACUACGUGCCAG